rnacentral:rRNA from 1 species
UGGGGAAUAUUGGACAAUGGGCGCAAGCCUGAUCCAGCCAUGCCGCGUGAGUGAAGAAGGCCUUCGGGUUGUAAAGCUCUUUUGUUGGGGAAGAAAAGCAUCCGGCUAAUACCCGGGUGUUCUGACGGUACCCAAAGAAUAAGCACCGGCUAACUUCGUGCCAGCAGCCGCGGUAAUACGAAGGGUGCAAGCGUUACUCGGAAUUACUGGGCGUAAAGCGUGCGUAGGUGGUUCGUUAAGUCUGAUGUGAAAGCCCUGGGCUCAACCUGGGAACUGCAUUGGAUACUGGCGAUCUGGAGUGCGGUAGAGGGUGGCGGAAUUUCCCGGUGUAGCAGUGAAAUGCGUAGAUAUCGGGAGGAACAUCCGUGGCGAAGGCGGCCACCUGGACCAGCACUGACACUGAGGCACGAAAGCGUGGGGAGCAAACAGG